GGGUCUCUAUGGGUCACUAUGGGUCUCUAUGGGUCAAUAUGGGUCUCUAUGGGGCAAUAUGGGGGGCUAUGGGGCCAUCAGUGGGUCUCUAUGGGUCAAUAUGGGUCUCUAUGGGGCAAUAUGGGUCAAUAUGGGGAGCUAUGGGUCAAUAUGGGGAGCUAUGGGGUAAUAUGGGGUGCUAUGGGGCAAUAUGGGGUGUUAUAGGGCAAUAUGGGAUGCUAUGGGGCACUGUGGGCCAAUAUGGGUCCCUAUGGGGCAAUAUACGGUGUUAUGGGGUGCUAUGGGGCAAUAUGGGGUGCUAUGGGGCCAUCA
rnacentral:lncRNA from 1 species